rnacentral:lncRNA from 1 species
AUGCAGCCGAGGCGUGGGGGCAGGGCGGCUGCUGACCUCACAAUGAUGGGGUCCGCUGUCCCUGGCCAGCCCGCCUGCCGACUGUCGGCGGCUGCAGCCCGCCGCUGCUGGGCAUGUCCCUCCUCAGCAGCUACGAGGGCCUGCGGCAGGAGACCCAGCGGCUGGGCAUGUCCCUCCUCAGCAGCUACGAGGGCCUGCGGCAGGAGACCCAGCGGCUGGGCAUGUCCCUCCUCAGCAGCUACGAGGGCCUGCGGCAGGAGACCCAGCGGCUGGCGCAUGUCCCUCCUCAGCAGCUACGAGGGCCUGCGGCAGGAGACCCAGCGGCUGGGCAUGUCCCUCCUCAGCAGCUACGAGGGCCUGCGGCAGGAGACCCAGCGGCUGGGCAUGUCCCUCCUCAGCAGCUACGAGGGCCUGCGGCAGGAGACCCAGCGGCUGGGCAUGUCCCUCCUCAGCAGCUACGAGGGCCUGCGGCAGGAGACCCAGCGGCUGGGCAUGUCCCUCCUCAGCAGCUACGAGGGCCUGCGGCAGGAGACCCAGCGGCUGGGCAUGUCCCUCCUCAGCAGCUACGAGGGCCUGCGGCAGGAGACCCAGCGGCUGGGCAUGUCCCUCCUCAGCAGCUACGAGGGCCUGCGGCAGGAGAUCCAGCGGCUGGGCAUGUCCCUCCUCAGCAGCUACGAGGGCCUGCGGCAGGAGAUCCAGCGGCUGGGCAUGUCCCUCCUCAGCAGCUACGAGGGCCUGCGGCAGGAGACCCAGCGGCUGGGCAUGUCCCUCCUCAGCAGCUACGAGGGCCUGCGGCAGGAGACCCAGCGGCUGGGCAUGUCCCUCCUCAGCAGCUACGAGGGCCUGCGGCAGGAGAUCCAGCGGCUGGGCAUGUCCCUCCUCAGCAGCUACGAGGGCCUGCGGCAGGAGACCCAGCGGCUGGGCAUGUCCCUCCUCAGCAGCUACGAGGGCCUGCGGCAGGAGACCCAGCGGCUGGGCAUGCCCCUCCUCAGCAGCUACGAGGGCCUGCGGCAGGAGACCCAGCGGCUGGGCAUGUCCCUCCUCAGCAGCUACGAGGGCCUGCGGCAGGAGACCCAGCGGCUGGGCAUGUCCCUCCUCAGCAGCUACGAGGGCCUGCGGCAGGAGACCCAGCGGCUGGGCAUGUCCCUCCUCAGCAGCUACGAGGGCCUGCGGCAGGAGACCCAGCGGCUGGGCAUGUCCCUCCUCAGCAGCUACGAGGGCCUGCGGCAGGAGACCCAGCGGCUGGCGCAGGAGAACGACGAGCUGCGGCGGCUCGUGCAGCUCAUCCAGGAGAACCAGGAGCUGAAGCUGGUGCUCAGGAACCGGGGCAGCAGCCUGGGCUUCUGCAGCUCCGGGCUCCUGGCUGAGGUUGCUGCCAGCCCCCGGCCGUCCCGGCGCAGGACUAUCAAGUUCAAGGAUGCUGACAGAGGUGAGCAGAGCCAGGGCCCCCGGGGGCUCUUCGCAGGGGCCCACAGGGCUUCUCUGGUUCAGCUUGUGCCGAGACGCUGA